rnacentral:lncRNA from 1 species
AGAGGCAGUGCACCCUUAGGCGUAGCACCUGCACCGCCCUGCCCUGGGGAGGCGACCCCGAGUACCCACGCGGGACACUGGCCAAGGACAUCAGCCAGACAGUGAUAAUGAAAGGACCUGGUGGCUUAACCGGUGCAACAGACUUUCAAGCUGAAUGAGCACAGAAGGGGGAAGAGGGAAGAGGAAACACUUGUGAUAAAAUAGGGAAGAAGCCAGGCCAACUCUGCCAAGAAAGCCUGCUUCUCACUGAAGCUCUCCUGACUGGGGAGUGUUCCUAAGAGAAUCAGCCUCUGCCAGGAGAUGGAAGUGCCUUAUUUUGAAGACAACAUCCUUACACGUGUGUGUGUGUGUGUGUGUGUGUGUGUGUGUGUCCCUGUAUAUCCGGGACCCCCAGCUAAGUGUCAGCUCCUUGCUCAGAGAACCUGUGAUUGGGAUUCUCUGGGGGGAAAUGUUCCAAAUGAAUCAAUUAACACCACCAGCAGAGAGUUCAAUACCACUGUACAGGGACCCAGCUUUGUAUUAGUGCAUGAAUGAAUUACUGGUACUCAUGUCAUUUGCAAAUAAUCAUCAUUGUAGCGCAGUGGAAAAUUCCCCCUACCCAUUUAGUCUGAGUAGCACCUUAGCAGAGCAUUGCAAUAACCCUCAUGGACCCUCCAAAAUAUUUGCACAUAUAUGUGCAGAUUAAGCUCCAGAUAGUUUAAUAUGAGAGUAUCUAUUUGGACACAAGGUCACCCCUUACACUCAUUAAACCAAUCUGAAUGAGGUCUGAUAACUCUUAAGGGAAAUCAGCACUUGAAAUGCUUUCGACUUUUUUUGGAGACACGGAUGGAAUAUAUCAGCAGGCUUCACUCAGCAUGAGACAGCUCUGAAAACUCCAGAAAGGACAUAUCGCUGUCCCACCCCACCCUCAGAGUCGUUCUUCACACAUCUAAGGCUUGUGGUGGGUGUGAAUUUAAUGUAAGGGGUGGGGGAAGUGGAGAACUUUACAGAAAAAGUGUGUUUCUUCUGACCAAAUCUGAUCUGAGUCAAUUUUUCUGCUGAUUCCUCCUACCCAGUGGGAAUUUUUUAAAAAAUCCAUAACUAGCACAUUUUGUGUUCUAAGUGACAUGAAUAAAAUGAUCCAGAGCUGAGGAGAUAACUCAGUGGGUAAUUGUGCCUGCUUUCCGUGAAAGCAAGGGGGUACUUAGUUCAAAUUCUCUAAACCUAGAAAAAAGAAAUCCUAGGCUUGGUCAUAUAUCUGUAACUCUACCUUUUUGCAGGCAUUGGGGUGGAUAUAGGCAGAUGUCUGAGACUUGAUGGAUAGCCAUCCUGAGCAGCUCUAGGCUAAGUGAGAUACUGUGUCCCAAAGUAUAAGACAGCUGGUAGUGGGGAAAGGACAAGGACCCUUGAAGUCUCUCUUUGGCAUGUACACUCAUAGGCACAUGCUCCUGUCCCCGGACACACACACACACACACACACACACACACACACACACAUUGGAAAAUAGGUUGAAGGAGCUGCAGUAGCAACUCAGAUGAAAUUUAAAAAAAAAACAAAACUAGGUUUUAUACUUAAUUUGCUUUUUGAAAGCAUUUCUAAAAGCCUUAAUCUUCAUGUAUGAAGCAUCACUUGAACCCCUCCCUGGUUUUGAAGAAUAACCUUAGGUUUAGAACAAGUGAAUAGAAUAGUGUUUUCUUAAGGAGUUAUGUCAGGAUCACUUUAUGUUUCAUUGUUAAAAUACAGCGAGGAGAACUUGGAAGUAGACACUAGGAACAGCCUUCUCAGCUCACUCAUUUCACUGACAUAAGUGACUCUUGAGCUUCAAGCUAAGGGCGUGGGAAUAAUAAUGGCUUCAUAGUGGGAUAAUGGUAAUUAGCACACAAAAGUUGAGUUAAUUACCAUGAAGGUUAUGACACAGACUGACAGACAGAGUCAAAGUAAACUAAAGUCUUCCACCCCAGUCAAGACUCUAAAAAGGGACCUGUACAACUCCCACUGAAUUUAGACAUAAAGCACAAUUGAAAUCAGUCACCUUUUCUCCCUCCAUCCUUAUUUCUAGACUUUUCGUUUCUUUGUAUGAAAUUCAAGAACAAUAGCUCUAGCAGUGUAUAUUUUAAUAAAGUAUGUAUAGUUUAUUUUCAUUGUUCUUGGUGAUUACAUUCCAUAAAGUUGCUGCACUUAAUGAAAUGUUCCCAGUAAAAAUAGAGAGGUAAGUUCCAGAGUCACUCUGUAAAAGGAUCUUUAUUAACUGAUCAGCACAUAAUCUCAUUUUCUGAGAGCUUCUGGUAGAUACUCUGUUUAGUGUGUGUUAUUGUUUCCCGAACACUCAGCUUCCCUUGCAGCGUUGUAGCCUUUGCCUCACAGAGCUUGUUAUCCGAAGCUUGUAUUUUCUGUGCAAAGCAUUGCAGCCUUUUUAGGAACCCCAGGAAACACAGUAUGUAUGGGGGUCAUUUUGAACAGCAAAAUUGCCGAAGAACAUUCUAAAAUAGCUAGCGGUGCUG